rnacentral:misc_RNA from 1 species
UUAUGAUUAUUUUUACGAUUUCGACGAAACAUUUGGUUGAAAUGACAGAGGUAAAAAAAAAAUUAUGUUUGUGAUAAACCAAUGGUAGUGGUAGAUUACAAGAGAGGAAACUGUGCUGUAGAUUUAUCAGAUCAAAUGAUAGCAUAUUCUACACCACAUAGAAGAACCCUCAAGUGGUAUCAGAUUUUAGAAUGGCACCCGUAAUGCACCUUACAUAAUACCAUUCACCAGAGCCGUCAAAUAUACUUAUUCGACAAAGAUUGCGACACGAAAUGCAGAAGAAAGAAGGACACACGUACCUGGCACGAAAAUUUUGCAGAGAGUGCUAUAAAAAAAAUGUUAAACAGUUAGGAUGAAAAAUUGCUAAGAAUCG